ACUCCUACGGGAGGCAGCAGUGGGGAAUAUUGGACAAUGGGCGCAAGCCUGAUCCAGCCAUACCGCGUGGGUGAAGAAGGCCUUCGGGUUGUAAAGCCCUUUUGUUGGGAAAGAAAUCCAGCUGGCUAUAACCCGGUUGGGAUGACGGUACCCAAAGAAUAAGCACCGGCUAACUUCGUGCCAGCAGCCGCGGUAAUACGAAGGGUGCAAGCGUUACUCGGAAUUACUGGGCGUAAAGCGUGCGUAGGUGGUCGUUUAAGUCCGUUGUGAAAGCCCUGGGCUCAACCUGGGAACUGCAGUGGAUACUGGACGACUAGAGUGUGGUAGAGGGUAGCGGAAUUCCUGGUGUAGCAGUGAAAUGCGUAGAGAUCAGGAGGAACAUCCAUGGCGAAGGCAGCUACCUGGACCAACACUGACACUGAGGCACGAAAGCGUGGGGAGCAAACAGGAUUAGAUACCCUGGUAGUCCACGCCCUAAACGAUGCGAACUGGAUGUUGGGUGCAAUCUGGCACGCAGUAUCGAAGCUAACGCGUUAAGUUCGCCGCCUGGGGAGUACGGUCGCAAGACUGAAACUCAAAGGAACUGACGGGGGCCCCCACAAGCGGUGGAGCAUGUGG
rnacentral:rRNA from 1 species